AACGAACGCUGGCGGCAUGCCUAACACAUGCAAGUCGAACGAGACCUUCGGGUCUAGUGGCGCACGGGUGCGUAACGCGUGGGAACCUGCCCUUAGGUUCGGAAUAACUCCCCGAAAGGGGUGCUAAUACCGGAUAAUGUCUUCGGACCAAAGAUUUAUCGCCUUUGGAUGGGCCCGCGUUGGAUUAGCUAGUUGGUAGGGUAAAAGCCUACCAAGGCGACGAUCCAUAGCUGGUCUGAGAGGAUGAUCAGCCACACUGGGACUGAGACACGGCCCAGACUCCUACGGGAGGCAGCAGUGGGGAAUAUUGGACAAUGGGCGAAAGCCUGAUCCAGCAAUGCCGCGUGAGUGAUGAAGGCCUUAGGGUUGUAAAGCUCUAUUACCCGGGAUGAUAAUGACAGUACCGGGAGAAUAAGCUCCGGCUAACUCCGUG
rnacentral:rRNA from 1 species